rnacentral:lncRNA from 1 species
CGAUCUGAGCGCGUGCUAUUGAACGUUUGCGCGAUACGCAAGCAAGCAGCACCCACUUCCCACACCAGCGUGCGCAGGUUUCGGGCAUCAUCCAUCAUGGUCUCUCACGGGCACGGAAGGUCCUGCGCGCUCGUUUUGGUGCUGAUGCUGCUCUCCGCAGUGCUCGUCACUGAAGCUAGCGACGAUAUGCCGGAGCAUAGCGAAGCCUGGCGAUGGCCGCGCAAGGCUAACCCCAUUGGGUCGUUCUUUGGCCACAUAAUCGAGGGCGUUGCGGAGGGGGUCACCAACUUCGUCCUCAACAUUAUCUCCUCCGACAGCUCCGACGCCCCCAAGCCGUCGGGGGAGACGUCUCGUCGGUGACGGUGCAUGGCGUGAGGAGAAUGUUCACAGCUGACGUAGUGAUCGUGCUGCAUUGAGUGCAAGACAACGGCCCGCCGUCGCGUCGUCCUCCUCCCCCCCAACUGAGGAAACUGCCAGCCAGUGGUUUCAAAUAAAAGUUUUGUCCAUCUAUUUACUACGAA